rnacentral:tRNA from 1 species
GGGGAUUUAGCUCAGUGGUAGGGCGCUUGCCUAGCAAGCGAAAGGCCCUGGGUUCGGUCCCCAGCUCUG